AUAGAAUGAGUUUGGACUAGAGGGCAAGAAAUAACUGGGAUCACAUCCUGGUUCUGCAAUCCACUUACUGGUUAACUAUGGACUGUCACUGCAGAGCCUCUUAACAUGUUUUACUAUCUUUAGUCUCACCCUGUGGAGGCUACGUGGGUUUCGGAUUUGGGUGGACCAAGAUCAUACUCAUGUCAUGUCAUACUCCGUGACAUUGAGUAAUAUUUUCCACCUGCAAAAUAGGGUUUAAAGGUACCAAAAUGAGCACAUAAAGACAGAAGUCAAAAUUGUUCAGUUUUUGAGCAGCAGAGCAUUUAAUGAAUGUGGCCUAGAGUGAAAAGUUUUAAUUCUUUCUUCAGGUCUUCCUCAAACAUUUAAGGAUCUCUGUGACGGCUGGCCUCCAAUGUCCCAGGGUGCCUAUCCAGGUGCACUGCCACAAAAUUACCAAUGGAUAGGUGUGACCAGAAAUGAGCAAUCCAUACUUGCGUCUCCAGGCCUACUUCAGCUUUCAGCACUUUAAGUAGGACAAGAAAAGCAAGAGCUCUACUUCACAAAAGAAUUCAUCUCCAGUUCCUGCAGUAAAUUAAAAUGUUAUGGUUCAUAGAGAAGCAGUGGACCAGAUUUCUGGGUCUUCAUUAAGCAAAACACAGUGACAGUUUGGAGGAUCACUUUCUUCUAUUCCUUCUCUUCAUUCCCAUUGGCACAAGGGCAAAUACAUACUUUAAAAAGUGAGAUUAAGUUGAGAUCUUAGCAGCAGUCAUAUAACAAUAUAGCAUCAAAGAAACUCAGGAAUAAUUAAUAGAGCAUUUCGCUUAGGGAUAGUAAAAAUGUGAUGGGUGAUGUAG
rnacentral:lncRNA from 1 species